UGCCCCUGGGCAGCGCUGGGUGUGGCUGGGGACGCGUGUUUCUUUGGCUGUGUUUAAUCACAUUGAUGUGAAUUUUGAAAAGCAUCAGCUCAUCGCUCGGCUGCUGUGCUUGGCUCGGCUUGGUCCAGAGGAAAGUCUGCCUUAUAGGGUCCUGGUGGAGGUGGCUUCUUCCCAGCAGUGACAAUACGGCUCCUUUGCAGCCCUGCACUCUUACACACGUCACCUAAAAAGACAGAAGAACCUGGUGGCUGCCCACAGAAUCGUGGGUGCACUGAGCGUCUCGUUUGUGCUCUACGUGCAGCCAAAAUUCCCUUUUAAUUUGCUCUGUCACGGUUAACCACUGCUGCUCAUACAGCAUAGAAUAUCUCUUAUGGCAGCAAGACAAGAAAUAAAGUAAUGUGGAUAAAAGAAGCAGAUUUCCACCCAAUUCCCAGCACAAACAAACCCACACUCCUCGUUCGUGGAUUCUUAUACUGAAAGGGAGACUUGAAUUUCUGCAGCAUAUGGAAUAUAAAGCACACGGCCAAUGUUUCUUACUGCUUUCAGAACAGCCGAGGAGAGAGGGAAUGUUGUAAUUCAGAUGAAGCAAUGAAACAAUCAGGGUAAGGCAAAAGUCUGCAUGAUGACAUAUUAAAGACCAUACACAUAUGCAGAUGGCAAAGCUAAAGCCAAGUUUUCAGAACCAAUCUUUCAGGGACAGAGAUCACCUCCUUGUUUGACAUUUAGUGGGAAUGAGUCUGUGUUUGCAGAGCACUGCAUCUCUUCCUCAGCCUGGAAGUUCUGGGAGGGGCUCUCACUGGGGACUGCCAUCCUGGGAUUGUGUUUGUUCCCUAUAGAAAAUGAACAGAACCUGGAAUCUUUCCAUAUUCUUCUCUUUUUACUAGCAUUAUUACUCUAGCUGUCUCAGAUUAGAGCUAGAUAUGUGUGUAAAUACAUAUAUAUUGUAUAUGUAUAUGUAUACA
ensembl:lncRNA